AACGUAGGGGGCAAGCGUUGCCCGGAUUCACUGGGCGUAAAGCGGGUGUAGGCGGUUCCUUAAGUCAGAUGUGAAAUCCUGCGGCUCAACCGCGGAACUGCAUCUGAUACUGGGGAACUUGAGGACGGUAGAGGUCGGUGGAAUACCCUGUGUACCGGUGAAAUGGGCAGAUAUAGGGUGGAACACCAGUGGCGAAGGCGGCCGACUGGGCCGAUCCUGACGCUGAGACACGAAAGCCAGGGUAGCGAACCGG
rnacentral:rRNA from 1 species